rnacentral:rRNA from 1 species
GGUACCUACGGCAGCCUAUAAUGCGAGUCGAACGAUCCAGGGAGCUUGCUCUCUGGGAAAGUGGCGCACGGGUGCGUAACGCGUAUGCAACCUACCUUAAUCAGGGGGAUAGCCUCUCGAAAGAGAGAUUAACACCGCAUAAAAUCAAAGAAUGGCAUCAUUCAAUGAUCAAAUAUUUAUAGGAUUAAGAUGGGCAUGCGUGUCAUUAGCUAGUUGGUGAGGUAACGGCUCACCAAGGCGACGAUGACUAGGGGAUCUGAGAGGAUGACCCCCCACACUGGUACUGAGACACGGACCAGACUCCUACGGGAGGCAGCAGUAAGGAAUAUUGGUCAAUGGAGGCAACUCUGAACCAGCCAUGCCGCGUGCAGGAAGACGGCCCUAUGGGUUGUAAACUGCUUUUAUACGGGAAUAAACCCCGGUUCGUGAACCGGGUUGAAUGUACUGUAAGAAUAAGGAUCGGCUAACUCCGUGCCAGCAGCCGCGGUAAU